GAUGGAAGGAAAUUAAUCGAAGAAAAAGAAAGCGGAAGUGAAAUUUGACAGUCUGACAUUGAAAAUGUAAACAGAAACAAAAUCCAGCAGAUAUUUUCUGUUUGCAUACUUAUGAUGACUGAAAAAGGAAAUAAGCAAUUUUUCAUCAUCUCACCGCAGCCAACUAUCAAUACAAUUAUUGAUGGAUUUUACGAAUUCAUUUUGAGUUGCAGUUUAACUGUCUUUUUAGCAAUGUUGAAGAUGAAUUUAAAUUUGUAGAUGAACUUUUUUUAGCAAUGUUGAUUUAUGUGCAUAACAAACCAUCUCAUGAGGUUCAGGUAAAUUGAAAUAAAUUUCUAUAAUGAUGAAGAUGACCAUGAGGAUUAUGAAAAUAAUAGACUGAUGCAAUUGGGGGAAAUGUUUUUUUAUAUAAUUAAAGAACUGCUUUUUGAGUAUGUAUGACAUUCAUACUGCCAGGAACUUUCUUUGGCAUGCAAUAUUGUGUACCUGUUGAUCUGCCAGGGCAUCACCCCAACUAUAAACAGUUAAAGAUUUGUAUUUCUGUAAAUACAUAUUUUUAGAACAUCAUGCUCUAAUGUGAAAUUUCAGGUCAAGCACCUGCUGUACAUAGAACAACAACUCAUUACAUCUUUGACUAUGCAGAGCAGGUAUUCUACCCAUACUAGGCACAGCAAGAGGGCCCUGCUUUGAAGUGUCUGUAAAUCAUAUGGUUCUCAGAUAUUUAUCUCAGUGAUAAGGGUUUAGCUAUUAUUUGGCCAAUGGUGUGGUACCUCAUUUUCAACAUCAUCCAUAUGGAGAAGAAUCUGCAUACCUGUACGUUGACAACUGUGUUGGGCAGAGUAAAAACAAUGCAGUCAUUGGGGUCUGAUGUAUUCUGAAGGGGCUACAUAGAGAAAUAGCAUUUACUUAAAUGGAAGCAGGUGAAAUAAAGUUCAGUCCUGUCUGAGAUUUGGUCUGUGGAAGACCAAAUGGAGGCAGCACACAUCCUUUGUGGAUUGAUGACCUUGGCAAACUGGUUAUAUUCUUUGACUGGUUGGAGUACACCAAGAGACCCCUGAAGUCCAUUCCAAACUUGAGGAAAUAUCAUCACUUCAGAACUUCAGCUGCAACCCAGUCAGUGAAUUCAUGGGAGAGCAUGUCAAGGACAGUGAGAUUGAAGUUAAAAUUGACAAGCCUACAACAAUGGCUUUUCCAUGGAGAGUACCCUGAACGCAUCCAACUAAAAGGACUUGAUGCAAAAAGGCUCUGAUCCCUUAAAUAACUGAAAAAUAACUUUUCAGUAUACUGAUAUGUGAUCUUUAUAAACUAAAUCUAAGAUUUGAGAAUGAUCCGUUACUGAGCUGAUGAAAACGUGUAUCAAUUUUUAUUGACAAUUAUUUAUUCAAUAGAAACAUGUUUAUGUGAAAUAAGGCUACCAAUGAUUUCUAGUGAUGGAAGGGUGCUGCACCCAGUCUUUUGUUUGUAGAACUCUUCUGCCAUAAUGGAGACCACUAUAUGAUUAAUAAUUAUUAAUACAAACUUAAAAAAGCUGGCAGUUGAAGCCUAUAAAUGCUUGAGUUAAAGACAUUUAUAAUAUUGUUUGUCAAAAUUAGUUACUUCACAGCCUGUACCUUAGCAACCUUUCAGUUUUUCUUCAAUAUCUUCAUUUUUAAAACCUUCCUGAACCCUAUAAACAUUUUUAGCUUUAACUUUUACCCUAUGAAUAAGCAUCAAGAAUACCAUUUGUCAUGUACUAUGUGACCAAUUGCACUUCUUGAAACUACAUAAUGAUGUGUACAUGCAGUAGGUUAGUAUGUUAAAUUAAUUGUUUUCAUUUUGUAAAUGUGCCCAUUUAUUAACUGAUCUUUUUAUACAAUAGUGUAAAUUAUGCAGUAUUGUUAUGUUUAUUAAAUAAGAGUAUAUUAACCACCAUUUCAUGUUUUAUGAGCAAUGAAUAAAUACAAUGAUCACAUUUGAGGUAAAUUGGUAAAGUUGGUGUGAUUAUAAUCAUGUUUGUGCCUGUUGCCAUGGUAACCAGGAUAAAAACAAACCCUUAAAGACCAUUCAAAUAAGAUAAAGUAUAGUAAAUUACAGUGGUUACAUCCUUUAACCUCCAGAUAAACAUUGGUUUGUAUAAGGUGCAAGUUACAACCUAAUGUAAAUUUAUUGUGAAAAAUUUCCAAUAAACUACGGUACUUGGUGAACAGUUUUUAUUUAUUCUGACAUUUGUCAAAUACAUACACCAGGUACAAUAAGGUUUGAGGAUAUCAAUUAACAAAUCAAUUAUUACUGAAUGCUUCAGAUGACAUUUAUUGUAUAAUUACAUGCAAAUUUAACCCCAAAACGCCUUUUUUCAAUAAUGGUUGCCAUGGUAACCAAUUAAUUUUAAUUUAUUUUCUCAAUAAUAAUUGAGAAUGCUUUUGAAAAUAUGUUGUUGUCGUUAUAAUGUGGGAAUUGUGUAUAUAGUAGUAAUGCAUAUUUAUUGCAUCUGUGAAUACAAAUGUUUCAAUAAAUUCUUGAACUUAC